rnacentral:rRNA from 1 species
CCCUUAGAUGUUCUGGGCCGCACGCGCGCUACACUGACGAAGUCAGCGAGCAUGUCCUACGCCGACAGGUGCGGGGAAUCUUGUCAAACUUCGUCGUGAUGGGGAUUGAUUAUUGAAAUUCUUGAUCAUCAACGAGGAAUUCCUAGUAAGCGCAAGUCAGCAGCUUGCGUUGAUUACGUCCCUGCCCUUUGUACACACCGCCCGUCGCUACUACCGAUUGGAUGGUUUAGUGAGGUCCUCGGAUUGGUCUCGGCCCGCUCUUUACCGGGCGGCGCCGUUGGUCGAGAAGACGCUCGAACUUGAUCGUUUAGAGGAAGUAAAAGUCGUAACA